ACCACAGUUAAAGAGUUCCUGUGUUUGUGUGUCUUUGGACCACAGUUAUAGAGAGUUUCUGUGUUUGUGUGUCUAUGGACCACAGUUAAAGAGUUCCUGUGUUUGUGUGUCUAUGGACCACAGUUAUAGAGGGUUCCUGUGUUAGUGUGUCUAUGGACUGCAGUUAUAGAUGGUUCCUGUGUUUGUGUGUCUAUGGAACACAGUUAUAGAGGGUUCCUGUGUUUGUGUGUCUAUGGACCACAGUUUUAGAGAGUUCCUGUGUUUGUGUGUCUAUGGACCACAGUUAUAGAGGGUUCCUGUGUUUGUGUGUCUAUGGACCACAGUUUUAGAGAGUUCCUGUGUUUGUGUGUCUAUGGACCACAGUUAUACAGAGUUCCUGUGUUUGUGUGUCUUUUGACCACGGUUGUAGACACUCUGUCCGUUUUUCUGUAUCAUCUUAUAGUGUUAACAUGUUCCCUAAUGUUUAUAUAACAGUGCCUUACAAGCUACAGCUGUAUAUAUUUGUGUAUACAGUAUAUAUAUUCUCCAUGAGAGAUUAAUGUGCAUGCCUCCAAUGGUUAAAAUAUCCUGAAGUUUUUCAUUCUCCCUGUUUCUAUAUGCAUGUCAUUUUAGUGGAUUACAGAUGUUCAGGAAAUAUUCAGCUUGGUUAAAGUGGGUGAAAUUGUCCUAUUAAGAUAUUUUUAAUUCUUUGAAAAUGAAUUCAUUUAUUCAUUUAAAAACUUUUUCUUAAAAAUACUGCAAUCAAUGUUAAUUAAAAUGGCAUUAAUGUUCUAUUGUUCAGAGAAUUUUAGUAACCUGUAGAUUUUUUUUUGUAGAUAUGAAGAGUUGAAUGUUACCUGUGGUAUAUACUUGUUUACCUAUACUUGUUUACCUAUGGUAUUUACUUGUCAUGACCGUUCGUUUGAAUAUCCCCUGCGCUGCUUCCUCAAUAACCUGCAAUUAAUAUGUAUUAAUCUUAAGGUCUACAUGCUUUUCCUGUUGUUUCUGGUCAUCAGAACUAAUAUUUAAAUGAUUCAUAAAAAAAAUGCAUGAAUAAUUUAUUGUAUAGGUCAUGAAUAUUUCUGCACAUCUUCUUCGUCCUGCAUCAUUUCUGAAGUUCUCUUUGUUGUCAUGUGUUGCAGAGUUGUCUCCCUUUGACCCUCUUUUUUUCUACCUCCUCCAUUGGUUGGCAGCUAGAUUUUGGUGCGGGGACCUUCUCACACAGUUAGUUGUCCAAGGUCAAAGAUUAAAAAUUAAAACAGUUGAAAUGUAGUUUCAGUAAAAGUAUGAAUGGAGUCUAGGAUACAAUCCUUAAGAAUGAAAAGCUCUGAUAUUGGGUCAGAUGGGUUCAAAGGUUAUCUAGUAAAGGUCACAAAAACAGUUGUGUUUAAAACCAAUCACAUGUUCAAGCAAAGCAAAUCACAUGGAUUUGGGUUGAGUGAAAGAGAUAGUGUACCAAGUAUAAGAAAUCACAGGUGCAGUGUACAUGAUGUAAAAAAAUCACAGGUGCAGUUAACUUGCUGAAACCGAUUAUGCUGCAUAAGCAUCCUGAAUAUUGUUGUGAUAUACAGUUGAUUGAGGUUACAUUUAAUAAUGGUAUCUGCGAACAUUGACUCUAAUCGGGAUACACAUUAUAAGUCUAUUUGGCAGUUUACUGACUGCCAAAGUAAUCACAGGUAAUGAAAGGUUAUAGUGACUAGUGAUAGCAAGAAUUGCUCAUGAAAAUACUGUGCAUUUGAUACGUGAAGUAUUUAACACUUUAUAUGAUGUACAUUUUAUAGCUUAGAUUUCCAAAGUUAAAAUCUAGGAUAUCAAAUAUGAAUCAUAUCAGGGAUUACGAAAUAUUUAAUGCUAAUUGAAAGUGAAAGUUUUAGAGUUCAGGAGACCAUAGGUUUAGUUGGGGAAAAGGAAACAGUUAAGUUUUGUAGAGGAAAAGGAGAAAGUAAAAUUUGUAGAGGAAAAAGAACAAGUAAACUUUGUAGAGGAAAGGAGAAAGUAAGUUUUGUAGAGGAAAAGAAGAGAGUACUGUCAGUCGGGGAAGAGGACAUGGCUUGUUUUCUAUAGGAAGAGGAGCCAGUAGGUUGUAUAGGAAGAGGAGGUAGUUGGUGUUUUUAAGGAAGAAGAGGUGAAAGGUUUUAUGGAGGAAAUAUGGAGCUAGUAAAUUCUGUAGAGUAAAAAGGAAACUGGUAAGUUUUGUAGAGGAAAGUGUGGCAGGAGGUUUAGGAGAAGAAAAGGAGGCAGUAGGAUUGUUAAGAAGAGGAGGUAGAAGGUUUUGAAGAGGAUGAGGAGGCAGUCCCUGGUAGCUUUUGAUGAGGAAAAGGAAGAUGUUAUCAGCCUGUGACAUUUACUGUUAAGUGUCCACAAUUUGGCAACUAGGUUGUUUACAUCAUUUUAAAGACAGUUUCAGAACAAAAAAGGGAAUACUAUUUCUUGGUUUAAUUACAAAGAUGUUAAACAACAUAUAAAGUGUGUUGAAACAUAUAUAACUUAAUAGUAGUCUGACUGUGAAUUGUGUUCUAUAAUUGAUUACAAGGAAUUCUUAAGAAUUAUUAACUUAUUCAUAUUUUAUCCACUGGUGAAGGAAUAUAUUCGUCUUAUAUUUUAUUUUUACUGGCAUUUCUUUUACCUGAUUUUUACCUUUGACCUUUAUUAACUAACUUUAAUAAUCAAUUGAUCAGUCCUGUUUAGUUCCUUAUGUAAUAGAGAAGCUGAGGCUAAUUAUCAUCCUGUGCUGACGACAUUGUAUCGAAACAUUUGACUCAACUUGCUCUGGAUAUAGCAUGUGACGGGCCUCCCUCAUGAUGAUCAGUGAAGUAGCCACCAAUGACUAAAAUAAGGCUUUGGAUAUUUUGUGUUCCUUUGGACGUCCUACAAUUCAGUGAUUUUUUUUCAAUUCAAGUGUUGACUCCAUUCAGUAGCUUUAGUAUACAGCGUUUCUUUUAUUUAUAUAUUUUACGAUGCAAAAACAGUGGAUUUUCAGAUCUAGAUGAAAGCUUGAGAUUAGCUCAGUCAAUAAACAGAAUCUGCUUUAGCAGGGUUGAUACCGAAAUAUGUCAUACUUGUUUUAAAAGUAAACAGUUUAUGAAAAAUGAAGUCUGUUAUUAUAAAUCAUUGUACAUAGCACAAGAGGCAAAGACUAUUUUUGCUAUAUUGAUUAGAGAUAACAUUAACUUUAUAUAAUGAUAAUAAUAUAUAUAUAUAUAUACAUAUAUAUAUAUAUAUAUGUAAUGCCUUGAUAAUAUUGUACAUUGAUUUGAUACUAGUAUGUCUUCAUAGUUUGUGAACCCCUUGUGUUUCGUCACAUCGUUAUUACAGCAAAUGAUUAGUAAAGUAGUAGGAUUUUAUAGGAUACGUCUUCACCUUCCUUACAUCUGUAUAGCUAGGGAAUCUGGUGCUGUAUUGGUGGAUCUGAAUUGAAACCUACAAUUUUCAUUUUUCACUAGAAAUUUCCUCCGUCAUUUCGUUAUAUUUUAGAUAUUUUGAAAUCAUAGUGAAGUGAUGAUAGACUAGCCAUGGGUACCAUUUCCCCAUUUACUUACUGCACAGUUAGGCCGGGAUGAAUGUUUACUGUAAUUGCCUGAAGAGGUUACCUCCAUUACCUGAAGAGGUUACCUCCCUUACCUGUGGGGUCUUUCCUUGUGUCUGUGAUCAGUAAGUAGCUAUCAUUUGGGCUAGCAGUGCUUAUCGCCACUGAUGAUCCAGAUUUUACCCUUGUUCAAGUCGGCUGGGUCAGAGACAGCUGCUAUGUAUUCCAAGAAUACUUAUUACAGAACUUUUGAUAUGUUUAAUUGUAGUUUUAUAUAUAUAAGGCAUUUCUGUUUCUACCUGUGCUCAAAGUACAACAGAGUCACAAUAUUACCCUCUCACCUAAUCAAGUGUGUAGACACAUGAGAGAAAAAAACUUGAAUCUAUGUUAAAUGAAAACAAAUGGAAGAUUCUCUUACUUUUUUUAAACAGUUUUCUUGAGUUGAUAUGAAUUUAAACAGGCAAUUUUUUUACUCUGCUGUUUUUGUGUGCUGUCAAAAUGUAUGUGACACCAUGAUUUGUGUUUUUUUAUAAACAAUGAGAACCAGUCACAAGUCCAUGCCAUCUUAUUUAUAUGUGUUCCUUGAUGACACUGAUGAUAGAAAAAAAAUUAAGCCAAUGUUACUGAGACAUACUGAGACAAACACGGUUUUCAUCCCAGCAAUUUUCUGGAAUUCCAUUCGAAAUUUUAAAAAGUACCCCAAUUUAAUUUGAAAAGGACCAUUUAUCAAUUACUUGACAGAAUCUCUGCUCAGUAGUCUCUGGACAUCACAGUUUACUUAGUAACAAAAACCUUUCGAACUUUAAAUUCCUAGUUAUAAGGUAAAUAGCAGUGUCCAACAGGAUGGUCCAUUUUCUGUUUUAUGGAAUAUGUUCUGUAUUGUUUUUUUAUUGAAUUUUCAGUUUAAAAAUCUCUAAAAUGGGUCAGCUUUCAUUUCCUAGUUGGGGCAUCAAUUUGUUUCUCCUAGUCGGGACAUCAAAUUGCUGACAGUCUGCAGGUGUGAGAGAUAUUUCUGUACUGCCCCGACUGAUGUGUACUUAAAGCAUCUGUCUACAGGGGUGAGAGAUAACUCUGUACUGCCCUGACUGAUGUGUACUGUACAGCAUCUGUCUACAGGUGUGAGAGAUAUCUCUGUACUGCCCCGACUGAUGUGUACUGAACAAUAUCAGUCUACAGGUGUGAGAGAUAUCUCUGUUCUGCCCCGACUGAUGUGUACUGAACAGCAUCUGUCUACAGGUGUGAGAGAUAUUUCUGUACUGCCCCGACUUAUGUGUACUGAACAGUAUCAGUCUACAGGUGUGAGAGAUAUCUCUGUACUGCCUCGACUGUUGAGUACUGAACAGUAUCAGUCUACAGGUGUGAGAGAUAUCUCUGUACUGCCCCGACUGAUGUGUACUAAACAGCAUCUGUCUACAGGUGUGAGAGAUAUCUCUGUACUGCCCUAACUUAUGUGUACUGAACAGUAUCAGUCUACAGGUGUGAGAGAUAUCUCUGUACUGCCUCGACUGUUGAGUACUGAACAGUAUCAGUCUACAGGUGUGAGAGAUAUUUCUGUACUGCCCCGACUGAUGUGUACUGAACAGCAUCUGUCUACAGGGGUGAGAGAUAACUCUGUACUGCCCUGACUGAUGUGUACUGUACAGCAUCUGUCUACAGGUGUGAGAGAUAUCUCUGUACUGCCCCGACUGAUGUGUACUGAACAGUAUCAGUCUACAGGUGUGAGAGAUAUCUCUGUUCUGCCCCGACUGAUGUGUACUUAACAGCAUCUGUCUACAGGUGUGAGAGAUAUCUCUGUACUGCCCUAACUUAUGUGUACUGAACAGUAUCAGUCUACAGGUGUGAGAGAUAUCUCUGUACUGCCUCGACUGUUGAGUACUAAACAGCAUCUGUCUACAGGUGUGAGAGAUAUUUCUGUAAUGCCCCGACUGUUGUGUACUGAACAGUAUCAGUCUACAGGUGUGAGAGAUAUCUCUGUACUGCGGGGGUGAGAGAUACUGUAAUGCCCUGACUUAUGUGUACUGAACAGCAUCUGUCUACAGGUGUGAGAGAUAUCUCUGUACUGCCCCGAUUGUUGUGUACUGAACAGUAUCAGUCUACAGGUGUGAGAGAUAUUUCUGUACUGCCUCGACUGUUGAGCACUGAACAGUAUCAGUCUACAGGUGUGAGAGAUAUCUCUGUACUGCCCCGACUGUUGAGUACUGAACAGUAUCAGUCUACAGGUGUGAGAGAUAUCUCUGUACUGCCCUGACUUAUGUGUACUGAACAGUAUCAGUCUACAGGUGUGAGAGAUAUCUCUGUACUGCCCUGACUUAUGUGUACUGAACAGUAUCAGUCUACAGGUGUGAGAGAUAUCUCUGUACUGCCCUGACUUAUGUGUACUGAACAGUAUCAGUCUACAGGUGUGAGAGAUAUUUCUGUAAUGCCUCGACUGUUGAGCACUGAACAGUAUCAGUCUACAGGUGUGAGAGAUAUCUCUGUACUGCCCCGACUGUUGAGUACUGAACAGUAUCAGUCUACAGGUGUGAGAGAUAUCUCUGUACUGCCCUGACUUAUGUGUACUGAACAGUAUCAGUCUACAGGUGUGAGAGAUAUCUCUGUACUGCCCUGACUUAUGUGUACUGAACAGUAUCAGUCUACAGGUGUGAGAGAUAUCUCUGUACUGCCCUGACUUAUGUGUACUGAACAGUAUCAGUCUACAGGUGUGAGAGAUAUUUCUGUAAUGCCCCAACUUAUCUCUAGUAGAAAGGUGUAAUGUUGGGAAGAAGACACAACAUGAAGCCAAUACUUCCAUUGAGAAGUUUAUUUCUGGUAAUGUGAAGAAAUAUUUUUGGAAAUUAAUGAAUUGAAUUUGAAUGUAUAAAUUUGUAUUUACAUGGACAAUAACCCUGACUAUGUGUACCAUAUAACUAUGUAUAUACUUAAGUACUUUUUUAAUGUCAUUCUUGUCCAAUUAUCUUUAUAAUAGAUACGAUUAAGAUUAUGGAUCAAUUUGUUUUAUAGCUAUUUUUUACCGUCAUGGGAAAAUCUACCAAUUGAUAGUCUCAUUAUUAUGUACAGUUAUUCAUCCAUAUAUUGUAAAUAAUACUAUUUUGUAAUACUGCACAUUGCUUCCGACUAGAAUGAACCAAAUGUCUGAAAUCAUGCAAUAUCAAUGAUGUGAUUUUUUGCUGUUUGGUUGCUUAAGGACCGGGUUGUUAUAAUCAGACUUCAUCAGCAGGGAGCCAUUUGUUUACGAAGCAGAAUUACCACUGUGUUGGGGAGUUAUCUGUGUAUGACAGAAUUAACCCAGUGUUGGGGGAGUUAUCUGUGUAUGACAGAGAAUUAACCCAGUGUUGGGAGAGUUAUCUGUGUAUGGCAGAGAAUUAACCCAGUGUUGGGAGAGUUAUCUGUGUAUGACAGAAUUAACCCAGUGUUGGGGAGUUAUCUGUGUAUGACAGAGAAUUACCACUGUGUUGGGGAGUUAUCUGUGUAUGACAGAAUUAACCCAGUAUUGGGGAGGUAUCUGUGUAUGACAGAGAAUUAACCCAGUGUUGGGAGAGUUAUCUGUGUAUGACAGAGAAUUAACCCAGUAUUGGGGAGGUAUCUGUGUAUGACAGAAUUAACCCAGUGUUGGGGAGUUAUCUGUGUAUGACAGAAUUAACCCAGUGUUGGGGAGGUAUCUGUGUAUGACAGAAUUAACCCAGUGUUGGGGAGGUAUCUGUGUAUGACAGAAUUAACCCAGUGUUGGGGAGUAAUCUGUGUAUGACAGAAUUAACCCAGUAUUGGGGAGGUAUCUGUGUAUGACAGAAUUAACCCAGUAUUGGGGAGGUAUCUGUGUAUGACAGAAUUAACCCAGUGUUGGGGAGUAAUCUGUGUAUGACAGAAUUAACCCAGUAUUGGGGAGGUAUCUGUGUAUGACAGAGAAUUAACCCAGUAUUGGGGAGUUAUCUGUGUAUGACAGAAUUAACCCAGUGUUGGGGAGGUAUCUGUGUAUGACAGAGAAUUACCACUGUGUUGGGGAGUUAUCUGUGUAUGACAGAAUUAACCCAGUAUUGGGGAGGUAUCUGUGUAUGACAGAGAAUUAACCCAGUAUUGGGGAGUUAUCUGUGUAUGACAGAAUUAACCCAGUAUUGGGGAGGUAUCUGUGUAUGACAGAGAAUUAACCCAGCAUUGGGGAGGUAUCUGUGUAUGACAGAAUUAACCCAGUAUUGGGGAGUUAUCUGUGUAUGACAGAGAAUUAACCCAGUGUUGGGGAGUUAUCUGUGUAUGACAGAAUUAACCCAGUAUUGGGGAGUUAUCUGUGUAUGACAGAGAAUUAACCCAGUGUUGGGGAGUUAUCUGUGUAUGACAGAAUUAACCCAGUGUUGGGGAGUUAUUUGUACAACAGAGAACUGACCUAGUGUUGGGAAUUAUCUGGUUUUUUUUACAUAGACUUAACUCCAUAUUGAGAUGUUCACCCCUAUGAGAUCAGACUGUGAUCUUUCGUUACCUGCAUGUGUUGCUGAAAUAGUAAUGAAGCCAUUGAAGCCUCUAUAUAUUAUCCCAGGCUUUUGUGAUGGAGAAACUUAUUCUCAGGUUAUCUCCCUUUUGCUGUUUGGCAAAAUAUUGAAAAUAAGAGGAAAUGUGUGGCUACAAUGAUGUUUCAUGUUCUUGUUCUGAAUUUAUAAUAUUGACAUUACAAUAAAAUAUAUGACUAUUAA